GAUGAACGCUGGCGGCGUGCCUAAUACAUGCAAGUCGAGCGAACAGACGAGGAGCUUGCUCCUCUGACGUUAGCGGCGGACGGGUGAGUAACACGUGGAUAACCUACCUAUAAGACUGGGAUAACUUCGGGAAACCGGAGCUAAUACCGGAUAAUAUAUUGAACCGCAUGGUUCAAUAGUGAAAGACGGUUUUGCUGUCACUUAUAGAUGGAUCCGCGCCGCAUUAGCUAGUUGGUAAGGUAACGGCUUACCAAGGCAACGAUGCGUAGCCGACCUGAGAGGGUGAUCGGCCACACUGGAACUGAGACACGGUCCAGACUCCUACGGGAGGCAGCAGUAGGGAAUCUUGCGCAAUGGGCGAAAGCCUGACGGAGCAACGCCGCGUGAGUGAUGAAGGUCUUCGGAUCGUAAAACUCUGUUAUUAGGGAAGAAAAAAUGUGUAAGUAACUAUGCACGUCUUGACGGUACCUAAUCAGAAAGCCCCGGCUAACUACGUG
rnacentral:rRNA from 1 species